rnacentral:sRNA from 1 species
ACUGUUACAAAAAGGGCGGCACUUGUUUGGCCCUGGCGGCAAAACGAUUUGAUUAUUUUUCCUAUUUUUUAACUGCUGCGCAAGAGCGAGAGGGGCUACACGUCCACGUCUGGUUAGAGCUAGCGAGUGGGUGAAAUAUUGCGAGUGUGGGAGCGAGUUCGAGUGCCGUUGUCAAGUCGUGUCCGUCCGUCUGUGGCGGUGGCGGCGGCGGCGUAGGAGACUGUGUCUCCGUCUCGUCUCUGUCUCGCCGCAAGGAGGCAGGAGGUGGCGUCGGCGGAGGUGGAAGCUGUGGUGUGGCAGGGGGGCAGAGCAGCCCGGCCAGAAGGCGUUAAAGUGCAAUGUUAGAGCAAAGACAACGAGGAACGACGACGGAGCAACAACGAAGAAUGCAGAAGCAGCGGAAGCAGCAGCACUACGUAGCGAACGCAACACAACAAUAAUUAAAAGUGCAACAAUUACAACAACCAAAACAACAACAACAACCAACAUGUGAAUUGCGUUUUUUUUUUACCAAAACCAAAACAAAACCACGAAGAACAAGUGUAGCCAGAGCCUGAGAGAGAGGGAGAGUGAAAGAAGGAGAAAGCGAAAAGCGAAGAGCGCCAUAAGAAAGAGACAAAGAAAGAAAAAGCCGCCAAAAUAUUAUAGCAACAGCAACAAAAACAUAAACAACAACAACUAGCAACAAACCAACAGCAAAUAACAACAACAAAUGUAAUAUAAAUAACGGUUCAAGCAAAACCAAAAAACAAUUUCGCGCGCGCUCUUUUUCCUUCUACCCUUUGUUUCUCUCAAAGACGGACGAGGACGAACACUGACAACACACACAAACAAAAAAUACAAAAAAAAAAACAACAAAACCGCUGCUUCUACGAAUUAUAUUUUGUUCGUCAAACAUCUUUUUUGAAAACUUCAAUCGUCAUUUAAUCAUCGUCAUAAUAACCACUCCAAUAAAACUCCACUCCCCCCGCAAUAUUCCGGAAACAGCAAACAAACAAAACAACAACAAUUUGAAAAGUGGCUAGAACAAAAACA